GCCGCGGUAGCUCAGUGGUAGAGCAUUGGUCUGAAGAACCAUUGGUCGUCAGUUCAAUUCUGACCCGCGGCA
rfam:Candidatus Wildermuthbacteria bacterium RIFCSPLOWO2_01_FTLL_48_16 rifcsplowo2_01_scaffold_2981, whole genome shotgun sequence.